AGAAUCAACGCUGGCGGCGUGCCUAACACAUGCAAGUCGAACGAGAAAGUGGAGCAAUCCAUGAGUAAAGUGGCGCACGGGUGAGUAACACGUGACUAACCUACCCUUGAGUGGGGAAUAACUUCGGGAAACCGAGGCUAAUACCGCAUAAUACCCACGGGUCAAAGGAGCAAUUCGCUUAAGGAGGGGGUCGCGGCUGAUUAGUUAGUUGGCGGGGUAAUGGCCCACCAAGACGAUGAUCAGUAUCCGGCCUGAGAGGGCGCACGGACACACUGGAACUGAAACACGGUCCAGACUCCUACGGGAGGCAGCAGUGGGGAAUUUUGCACAAUGGGGGAAACCCUGAUGCAGCAACGCCGCGUGGAGGAUGAAGUCCCUUGGGAUGUAAACUCCUUUCGACCGGGACGAUAAUGACGGUACCGGUGGAAGAAGCCCCGGCUAACUCUGUGCCAGCAGCCGCGGUAAUACAGAGGGGGCAAGCGUUGUUCGGAAUUAUUGGGCGUAAAGGGUGCGUAGGCGGUGCGGUAAGUCUUUUGUGAAAUCUCCGGGCUCAACUCGGAGUCUGCAGGAGAAACUGCCGUGCUUGAGUAUGGGAGAGGUGAGUGGAAUUCCUGGUGUAG
rnacentral:rRNA from 1 species